CUCGAUCGGUGGCGUCGCUUCGUGGAAAAUUGUUGGAUGAAAAUCAGUUCACAGCAGCUAAUUGGGGAGGAUCGGCAAUGGAGCCAGGAGGCGCCAUUUUGGCGGGUACAGUGCCGGCAUGCAGAACUCUACACUCUACACUGCACUACAAAGACGAAGCAUCACUUCCAACCUGAAGGUACACGCCUAAGAGGUACAGCCCCCACAGGCAGGUAAGUACAACCAAGUAGCCUAUUUUCAUGCAUAGUAGUUCGAAUGGAGGGACGCAGAUGAAAACUUUACAUCGAAUCAUGGUCAUGUUUACAAUAUAAAUUAAUGUACGACGCCAUAGGAGUACAGUAGGAGCCGCACAAUCAUACACAUACACGAACAUAGACCCUGGAAGUACAGUCAGAGCUACUAAAUAUACAUAUAUCACUAUGCACCAACUAUAUAAGUGGAGACUACUAUGUAUCACUAUCAUAUCAUUACGAAGUACUUUAUCUAGUGAG
rnacentral:sRNA from 1 species